AACGUAGGAUCCGAGCGUUGUCCGGAAUCACUGGGUGUAAAGGGUGCGUAGGCGGGCUUGCGCGUCAAGGGUUAAAGACCUCGGCUCAACCGAGGGAAUGCCCUUGAUACGGCAGGCCUUGAGUGCGGGAGAGGAUGGUGGAAUUCCUGGUGUAGGGGUGAAAUGCGGAGAGAUCAGGAGGAACACCGAAGGCGAAGGCAGCCAUCUGGACCGCCACUGACGCUGAGGCAAGAAAGCGUGGGGAGCAAACGGG
rnacentral:rRNA from 1 species